AGUGAACGCUGGCGGCAGGCCUAACACAUGCAAGUCGAACGGCAGCGGGCAGUAGCAAUACUGUGCCGGCGAGUGGCGGACGGGUGAGGAAUACAUCGGAAUCUACCUUGUCGUGGGGGAUAACGUAGGGAAACUUACGCUAAUACCGCAUACGACCCACGGGUGAAAGCGGCGGACCGCAAGGCGUCACGCGAUUUGGAUGAGCCCGAUGUCCGAUUAGCUAGUUGGCGGGGUAAAGGCCCACCAAGGCGACGAUCGGUAGCUGGUCUGAGAGGAUGAUCAGCCACACUGGAACUGAGACACGGUCCAGACUCCUACGGGAGGCAGCAGUGGGGAAUAUUGGACAAUGGGCGCAAGCCUGAUCCAGCCAUGCCGCGUGUGUGAAGAAGGCCUCGGGUUGUAAAGCACUUUUGUU
rnacentral:rRNA from 1 species